GCCAUAUCACGUUGAAACUCUGAAGUAAAGCAACGUCGCGUCUGGCCAGUACAGUGAUGGGUGACCGCUUGGAAAUACCAGGCGCUGUAAG